GUUGUUGUGGCCAAGUGGUUAAGGUGAUGGACUCGAAAUCCAUUGGGUUUUCACCACUCAGGUUCAAAUCCUGCCAAUAACG
rnacentral:tRNA from 1 species